AGGGUUUGACAUGUCUCGUAUUUUUCAGAAAUGGAAAAGUGUCUCCCCUUUCAAAGAGGGAGAAACGAGAACAC
rnacentral:rRNA from 1 species